rnacentral:rRNA from 1 species
AUUGAACGCUGGCGGCAGGCCUAACACAUGUAAGUCGAGCGAGCGGCGGACGGGUGAGUAAUGUAUGGGGACUGCCCGAUAGAGGGGGCUAACUACUGGAAACAGUGGCUAAUACCGCAUACUAUCGGAUAACCCAUAUUGGAUUAGCUAGUAGGUGGGGUAAAGGCUCACCUAGGCGACGAUCACUAGCUGGUCUGAGAGGAUGAUCAGCCACACUGGGACUGAGACACGGCCCAGACUCAUACGGAGGAAGCAGUGGGGAAUAUUGGACAAUGGGCGAAAGCCUGAUGCAGCCAUGCCGCGUGUAUGAAGAAGGCCUUAGGGGUGUAAAGUACUUUUGGCGGGGAGGCGUUACCUGCAGAAUAAGCACCGGCUAACUCCGUGCCAGCAGCCGCGGUAAUUC